rnacentral:rRNA from 1 species
UACGAAGGGUGCUAGCGUUGUUCGGAAUCACUGGGCGUAAAGCGCGCGUAGGCGGCUAAUCAAGUCAGGGGUGAAAUCCCACAGCUCAACUGUGGAACUGCCUUUGAAACUGGUUAGCUAGAGUGUCGGAGGGGAUAGCGGAAUUGCUAAUGUAGAGGUGAAAUUCGUAGAUAUUAGCAGGAACACCGGUGGCGAAGGCGGCUAUCUGGACGACAACUGACGCUGAGGCGCGAAAGCGUGGGGAUCAAACAGG